rnacentral:rRNA from 1 species
AUGGAGCUCCGCGGCCUAUCAGGCUUGUUAGUGAAGUAUAGUUCACCAAGCUCGACGGUAGCGCUGAGAGGUGAUCGGCACCACUGGACUGAGACACGGUCCAGACUCUACGGGAGGCAGCAGUGGGGGAAUAUUGCACAAUGGGCGAAAGCUGAUGCAGCAACGCCGCGUGAGGGAUGACGGCUUCGGGUUGUAAACCUCUUUUAGCAGGGAAGAAGCGAAAGUGACGGUACCUGCAGAAAAAGCGCCGGCUAACUACGUGCCAGCAGCCGCGGUAAUACGUAGGGCGCAAGCGUUAUCCGGAAUUAUUGGGCGUAAAGAGCUCGUAGGCGGUCUGUCGCGUCUGCUGUGAAAACCCGAGGCUCAACCUCGGGCCUGCAGUGGGUACGGGCAGACUAGAGUGCGGUAGGGGAGAUUGGAAUUCCUGGUGUAGCGGUGGAAUGCGCAGAUAUCAGGAGGAACACCGAUGGCGAAGGCAGAUCUCUGGGCCGUAACUGACGCUGAGGAGCGAAAGGGUGGGGAGCAAACAGGCUUAGAUACCCUGGUAGUCCACCCCGUAAACGUUGGGAACUAGUUGUGGGGUCCAUUCCACGGAUUCCGUGACGCAGCUAACGCAUUAAGUUCCCCGCCUGGGGAGUACGGCCGCAAGGCUAAAACUCAAAGGAAUUGACGGGGACCCGCACAAGCGGCGGAGCAUGCGGAUUAAUUCGAUGCAACGCGAAGAACCUUACCAAGGCUUGACAUAUAGAGGAAACGUCUGGAAACAGUCGCCCCGCAAGGUCUCUAUACAGGUGGUGCAUGGUUGUCGUCAGCUCGUGUCGUGAGAUGUUGGGUUAAGUCCCGCAACGAGCGCAACCCUCGUUCUAUGUUGCCAGCACGUAAUGGUGGGAACUCAUGGGAUACUGCCGGGGUCAACUCGGAGGAAGGUGGGGAUGACGUCAAAUCAUCAUGCCCCUUAUGUCUUGGGCUUCACGCAUGCUACAAUGGCCGGUACAAAGGGCUGCAAUACCGUGAGGUGGAGCGAAUCCCAAAAAGCCGGUCCCAGUUCGGAUUGAGGUCUGCAACUCGACCUCAUGAAGUCGGAGUCGCUAGUAAUCGCAGAUCAGCAACGCUGCGGUGAAUACGUUCCCGGGUCUUGUACACACCGCCCGUCAAGUCAUGAAAGUCGGUAACACCAGAAGCCGGAGGCCCUCACCCCCGAGGGGGGUGC